rnacentral:rRNA from 16 species
GUUAAAGAAGUUUUAGUGAAUUGAACCAUCUAAGUAACUAAAAAAAAAAUCAACCGAGAUAAUGUUAGUAGUGGCGAACGAAAACAUUUGUAUAGACUUGAUUAAACUAUUUUUAAUAUAUUUUGAAUAUAUUAAAGAAUGCCAUAGAAGGUAAUAAACGUGAUAGCCCUGUAAAAUA